UUGGGCCUACGGGAGGCAGCAGUGGGGAAUAUUGCACAAUGGGGGAAACCCUGAUGCAGCGACGCCGCGUGAGUGAGGAAGUAUUUCGGUAUGUAAAGCUCUAUCAGCAGGGAAGAAAAUGACGGUACCUGACUAAGAAGCCCCGGCUAACUACGUGCCAGCAGCCGCGGUAAUACGUAGGUGGCAAGCGUUGUCCGGAUUUACUGGGUGUAAAGGGCGUGCAGCCGGGCUGACAAGUCAGAUGUGAAAUCCCGCGGCUCAACCGCGGAGCUGCAUUUGAAACUGUCAGUCUUGAGUACCGGAGG
rnacentral:rRNA from 1 species